rnacentral:rRNA from 1 species
UCUCCGUUGGUGGAACCAGCGGAGGGAUCAUUACUGAGUUUACGCUCUACAACCCUUUGUGAACAUACCUAUAACUGUUGCUUCGGCGGGCAGGGUCUCCGUGACCCUCCCGGCCUCCCGCCCCCGGGCGGGUCGGCGCCCGCCGGAGGAUAACCAAACUCUGAUUUAACGACGUUUCUUCUGAGUGGUACAAGCAAAUAAUCAAAACUUUUAACAACGGAUCUCUUGGUUCUGGCAUCGAUGAAGAACGCAGCGAAAUGCGAUAAGUAAUGUGAAUUGCAGAAUUCAGUGAAUCAUCGAAUCUUUGAACGCACAUUGCGCCCGCCAGCAUUCUGGCGGGCAUGCCUGUUCGAGCGUCAUUUCAACCCUCAAGCUCUGCUUGGUGUUGGGGCCCUACAGCUGAUGUAGGCCCUCAAAGGUAGUGGCGGACCCUCCCGGAGCCUCCUUUGCGUAGUAACUUUACGUCUCGCACUGGGAUCCGGAGGGACUCUUGCCGUAAAACCCCCAAUUUUCCAAAGGUUGACC